GGCCAUCGCUCAACGGAUAAAAGGUACUCCGGGGAUAACAGGCUGAUACCGCCCAAGAGUUCAUAUCGACGGCGGUGUUUGGCACCUCGAUGUCGGCUCAUCACAUCCUGGGGCUGAAGUAGGUCCCAAGGGUAUGGCUGUUCGCCAUUUAAAGUGGUACGCGAGCUGGGUUUAGAACGUCGUGAGACAGUUCGGUCCCUAUCUGCCGUGGGCGCUGGAGAACUGAGGGGGGCUGCUCCUAGUACGAGAGGACCGGAGUGGACGCAUCACUGGUGUUCGGGUUGUCAUGCCAAUGGCACUGCCCGGUAGCUAAAUGCGGAAGAGAUAAGUGCUGAAAGCAUCUAAGCACGAAACUUGCCCCGAGAUGAGUUCUCCCUGACCCUUUAAGGGUCCUGAAGGAACGUUGAAGACGACGACGUUGAUAGGCCGGGUGUGUAAGCGCAGCGAUGCGUUGAGCUAACCGGUACUAAUGAACCGUGAGGCUUAACCUUACAACGCCGAAG
rnacentral:rRNA from 1 species